UUUCAGCCCAAUUAUUGAAGACAGCCUUGAGGCCACACACUCCUCUGGGUUCUCUGGAUCUUCUGCCUCAGUUACAAGCACCUCCUCCAUCAAAUGUCUUCAAAUUCCUGAGAAACUGGAGCUUACUAAUGAGACUACAGAAAACACUGUUCAGUCACCCUGGUGUUCACAGUAUCGCAAACAACUACUAAAAUCCCUACCAGAGCUGAGUGCCUCUGCAGAGUUUUUUGUAGAAGAUAGACCAAUGCCUAAGUUGGAAACAGAGGAGGAAAUUGAAUUAGGUAAUGAGGAUUAUUGCAUUAAACAAGAAUACCUUAUAUGUGAAGAUUACAAAUUAUUCUGGGUGACACCAAGAAACUCUGCAGAAUUAACCA